AAGGCAGCAGGCGCGCAAAUUACCCAAUCCCGAUACGGGGAGGUAGUGACAAUAAAUACUGAUACGGGGCUCUUUUGGGUCUCGUAAUUGGAAUGAGAACAAUUUAAAUCCCUUAACGAGGAACAAUUGGAGGGCAAGUCUGGUGCCAGCAGCCGCGGUAAUUCCAGCUCCAAUAGCGUAUAUUAAAGUUGUUGCAGUUAAAAAGCUCGUAGUUGAACCUUGGGUCUGGCUGGCCGGUCCGCCUCACCGCGAGUACUGGUCCGGCUGGACCUUUCCUUCUGGGGAACCUCAUGGCCUUCACUGGCUGUGGGGGGAACCAGGACUUUUACUGUGAAAAAAUUAGAGUGUUCAAAGCAGGCCUUUGCUCGAAUACAUUAGCAUGGAAUAAUAGAAUAGGACGUGCGGUUCUAUUUUGUUGGUUUCUAGGACCGCCGUAAUGAUUAAUAGGGAUAGUCGGGGGCGUCAGUAUUCAGCUGUCAGAGGUGAAAUUCUUGGAUUUGCUGAAGACUAACUACUGCGAAAGCAUUCGCCAAGGAUGUUUUCAUUAAUCAGGGAACGAAAGUUAGGGGAUCGAAGACGAUCAGAUACCGUCGUAGUCUUAACCAUAAACUAUGCCGACUAGGGAUCGGACGGGCUCCUAUGAUGACCCGUUCGGCACCUUACGAGAAAUCAAAGUUUUUGGGUUC
rnacentral:rRNA from 1 species